rnacentral:rRNA from 1 species
ACAAUGGAGAGUUUGAUCCUGGCUCAGGAUGAACGCUAGCGGCAGGCUUAAUACAUGCAAGUCGAGGGGCAGCAUGACUGUAGCAAUACAGUUGAUGGCGACCGGCAAACGGGUGCGGAACACGUACACAACCUUCCUUCGAA